rnacentral:rRNA from 1 species
GACGAACGCUGGCGGCGUGCUUAACACAUGCAAGUCGAACGGAAAGGCCCUGCUUUUGUGGGGUGCUCGAGUGGCGAACGGGUGAGUAACACGUGAGUAACCUGCCCUUGACUUUGGGAUAACUUCAGGAAACUGGGGCUAAUACCGGAUAGGAGCUCCUGCUGCAUGGUGGGGGUUGGAAAGUUUCGGCGGUUGGGGAUGGACUCGCGGCUUAUCAGCUUGUUGGUGGGGUAGUGGCUUACCAAGUCUUUGACGGGUAGCCGGCCUGAGAGGGUGAACGGCCACAAUGGGACUGAGAUACGGCCCAGACUCCAACGGGAGGCAGCAGUGGGGAAUAUUGCACAAGGGGCGGAAGCCUGAUGCAGCAAAGCCGCGUGCGGGAUGACGGCCUUCGGGUUGUAAACCGCUUUCGCCUGUGACGAAGCGUGAGUGACGGUAAUGGGUAAAGAAGCACCGGCUAACUACGUG